AGUGAACGCUGGCGGUAGGCCUAACACAUGCAAGUCGAACGGCAGCACAGUAAGAGCUUGCUCUUACGGGUGGCGAGUGGCGGACGGGUGAGGAAUACAUCGGAAUCUACUUUUUCGUGGGGGAUAACGUAGGGAAACUUACGCUAAUACCGCAUACGACCUACGGGUGAAAGCAGGGGAUCUUCGGACCUUGCGCGAUUGAAUGAGCCGAUGUCGGAUUAGCUAGUUGGCGGGGUAAAGGCCCACCAAGGCGACGAUCCGUAGCUGGUCUGAGAGGAUGAUCAGCCACACUGGAACUGAGACAAGGUCCAGACUCCUACGGGAGGCAGCAGUGGGGAAUAUUGGACAAUGGGCGCAAGCCUGAUCCAGCCAUACCGCGUGGGUGAAGAAGGCCUUCGGGUUGUAAAGCCCUUUUGUUGGGAAAGAAAAGCAGCAGGUUAAUACCCCGCUGUUCCGACGGUACCCAAAGAAUAAGCACCGGCUAACUUCGUG
rnacentral:rRNA from 1 species